rnacentral:tRNA from 1 species
UCUGUUUUGGCAGACUAGUGCAAUAAAUUUAGAAUUUAUUUAAAUAUAAAAAAUUAUAUAAACAGAA